rnacentral:rRNA from 1 species
UACAGAGGGGGCAAGCGUUGUUCGGAAUUACUGGGCGUAAAGGGCGCGUAGGCGGCCUCUUAAGUCGAACGUGAAAUCCCUGGGCUCAACCCAGGAACUGCGUCCGAGACUGAAAGGCUCGAAUCCGGGAGAGGGAUGUGGAAUUCCAGGUGUAGCGGUGAAAUGCGUAGAUAUCUGGAGGAACAUCGGUGGCGAAGGCGGCAUCCUGGACCGGUAUUGACGCUGAGGCGCGAAAGCCAGGGGAGCAAACGGGAUUAGAAACCCCCGUAGUCC